GACGAACGCUGGCGGCGUGCUUAACACAUGCCAGUCGAACGGUGAAGCUCCAGCUUGCUGGAGUGGAUCAGUGGCGAACGGGUGAGUAACACGUGAGCAACCUGCCCCUGACUCUGGAAUAAGCGCUGGAAACGGCGUCUAAUACUGGAUACGAGAAGGGUCCGCAUGGGCACUUUCUGGAAAGUUUUUCGGUUGGGGAUGGGCUCGCGGCCUAUCAGCUUGUUGGUGAGGUAAUGGCUCACCAAGGCGACGACGGGUAGCCGGCCUGAGAGGGCGACCGGCCACACGGGGACUGGGACACGGCCCAGACUCCUACGGGAGGCAGCAGUGGGGAAUAUUGCACAAUGGGCGAAAGCCUGAUGCAGCGACGCCGCGUGAGGGAUGACGGCCUUCGGGUUGUAAACCUCUUUCAGCAGGGAAGAAGCGAAAGUGACGGUACCUGCAGAAGAAGCACCGGCGAACUACGU
rnacentral:rRNA from 1 species